AGAGUUUGAUCAUGGCUCAGAUUGGACGCUGGCGGCAGGCCUAACACAUGCAAGUCGAGCGGCAGCGCGGGGCAACCUGGCGGCGAGCGGCGGACGGGUGAGUAACGCGUAGGAAUCUACCCAGUAGCGGGGGAUAGCCCGGGGAAACUCGGAUUAAUACCGCAUACGCCCUAAGGGGGAGAGCAGGGGAUCGUAAGACCUUGCACUAUUGGAAGAGCCUGCGUUGGAUUAGCUAGUUGGUAGGGUAAAGGCCUACCAAGGCGACGAUCCAUAACUGGUCUGAGAGGAUGAUCAGUCACACCGGAACUGAGACACGGUCCGGACUCCUACGGGAGGCAGCAGUGGGGAAUAUUGGACAAUGGGGGCAACCCUGAUCCAGCCAUGCCGCGUGUGUGAAGAAGGCCUUCGGGUUGUAAAGCACUUUAAGUGGGGAGAAAGGCUCGCUGCCUAAUAAUCAGCGGGAUUGAUGUUACCCACAGAAUAAGCACCGGCUAACUCUGUGCCAGCAGCCGCGGUAAUACAGAGGGUGCAGGCGUUAAUCGGAAUUACUGGGCGUAAAGCGCGCGUAGGCGGCUAAAUAAGUCGGGUGUGAAAGCCCCGGGCUCAACCUGGGAACUGCGUUCGAUACUGUUUAGCUAGAGUAUGAGAGAGGGAGGUAGAAUUCCACGUGUAGCGGUGAAAUGCGUAGAUAUGUGGAGGAAUACCGGUGGCGAAGGCGGCCUCCUGGUUCAAUACUGACGCUGAGGUGCGAAAGCGUGGGAGCAAACAGGAUUAGAUACCCUGGUAGUCCACGCCGUAAACGAUGUCAACUAGCCGUUGGGGACCUUCGUGUCCUUGGUGGCGCAGCUAACGCGAUAAGUUGACCGCCUGGGGAGUACGGUCGCAAGAUUAAAACUCAAAUGAAUUGACGGGGGCCCGCACAAGCGGUGGAGCAUGUGGUUUAAUUCGACGCAACGCGAAGAACCUUACCAGGUCUUGACAUCCAGAGAAGUCGCUAGAGAUAGCUUCGUGCCUUCGGGAACUCUGAGACAGGUGCUGCUUGGCUGUCGUCAGCUCGUGUCGUGAGAUGUUGGGUUAAGUCCCGUAACGAGCGCAACCCUUAUCCUUAUUUGCCAGCGAGUAAUGUCGGGAACUUUAAGGAGACUGCCGGUGACAAACCGGAGGAAGGUGGGGAUGACGUCAAGUCAUCAUGGCCCUUACGACCUGGGCUACACACGUGCUACAAUGGCGCGUACAGAGGGCUGCAACCUCGCGAGAGUGAGCUAAUCCCAGAAAACGCGUCGUAGUCCGGAUUGGAGUCUGCAACUCGACUCCAUGAAGUCGGAAUCGCUAGUAAUCGCGGAUCAGAAUGCCGCGGUGAAUACGUUCCCGGGCCUUGUACACACCGCCCGUCACACCAUGGGAGUGGGUUGCACCAGAAGUAGCUAGUCUAACCGCAAGGGGGACGGUUACCACGGUGUGAUUCAUGACUGGGGUGAAGUCGUAACAAGGUA
rnacentral:rRNA from 1 species